rnacentral:misc_RNA from 1 species
UGGUGCCCCCUGAGCAGCAUUAAAUAAAAAAGUACUAAUAAUUAAAAGUUACACAACCUAAAGUUGUCAAACAUAUGAAUCUAUCAUUCUCAAAUAUACAUAAUUAUAUGAAUUUUUUGCACCACCACACAAAAUUACCAAGACUAGAAGGCUCACUUUUCCUUAAUCUCAGUUUCAGAAAGUAUAAUUCCAAAAAAGGAUGCCAGUGAAAAUAAUAAUCACCUUGGUUGACCUCCAGUUAUCAAGGCAUGACCUAUGAACAUACUUC